UUCGGGUACAAUUGAGACAGGUGGUGCAUGGUUGUCGUCAGCUCGUGUCGUGAGAUGGUUGGGUUAAGUCCCGCAACGAGCGCAACCCUUGUGUUUUAGUUGCAAACAGGUCAAGCUGUGCACUCUAGACAGACUGCCGUGGACAACACGGAGGAAGGGUGGGGAUGACGUCAAAUCAUCAUCGCCCCUUAUGAUCGUGGGCUACACACGUGCUACAAUGGCCGGUACAACGGGCAGCGAAGGAGCGAUCCGGAGCGAAUACCUAAAAAGCCGGUCCCAGUUCGGAUUGCAGGCUGAAACUCGCCUACAUGAAGUUGGAGUUGCUAGUAAUCGCGAAUCAGAAUGUCGCGGUGAAUGCGUUCCCGGGUCUU
rnacentral:rRNA from 1 species